rnacentral:rRNA from 1 species
UACGUAGGGGGCAAGCGUUGUCCGGAAUUAUUGGGCGUAAAGAGCGUGUAGGCGGCCAGAUAAGUCCGCUGUGAAAUCUCGAGGCUCAACUUCGAGCUGUCGGCGGAAACCAUUUGGCUAGAGUCCGGAAGAGGAAAGUGGAAUUCCUGGUGUAGCGGUGAAAUGCGUAGAUAUCUGGAGGAACACCGGUGGCGAAGGCGGCAUCCUGGACCAAUUCUGACGCUGAGGAGCGAAAGCCAGGGGAGCAAACGGG